GAAUUUUUGAUUAACGCCUGCCUUAUGGGCAGGCCACUUGGAAG
rfam:Serratia fonticola strain DSM 4576, complete genome.